rnacentral:rRNA from 1 species
GACGUAGGGCGCAAGCGUUGUCCGGAAUUAUUGGGCGUAAAGAGCUCGUAGGCGGUCUGUUACGUCGGCUGUGAAAACCUGGGGCUCAACUCCGGGCCUGCAGCCGAUACGGGCAGACUAGAGUUCGGCAGGGGAGACUGGAAUUCCUGGUGUAGCGGUGAAAUGCGCAGAUAUCAGGAGGAACACCGGUGGCGAAGGCGGGUCUCUGGGCCGAAACUGACGCUGAGGAGCGAAAGCGUGGGGAGCAAACAGG